UACAGAGGUCCCAAGCGUUGUUCGGAUUCACUGGGCGUAAAGGGUGCGCAGGUGGCUUGGUAAGUUUGAUGUGAAAGCUCAGGGCUCAACCCUGAAAUGGCAUUGAAUACUACCGGGCUUGAGGUUUGGAGGGGGGACUGGAAUUCUCGGUGUAGCAGUGAAAUGCGUAGAUAUCGAGAGGAACACCAGUGGCGAAGGCGAGUCCCUGGACAACACCUGACACUGAGGCACGAAAGCCAGGGGAGCAAACGGG
rnacentral:rRNA from 1 species